rnacentral:rRNA from 1 species
UACGUAGGGUGCGAGCGUUAAUCGGAAUUACUGGGCGUAAAGCGUGCGCAGGCGGUUAUUUAAGUCAGGUGUGAAAGCCCUGGGCUUAACCUAGGAAUUGCGCUUGAGACUGGAUAGCUUGGAGUGCGGCAGAGGGAGGUGGAAUUCCACGUGUAGCAGUGAAAUGCGUAGAGAUGUGGAGGAACACCGAUGGCGAAGGCAGCCUUCUGGGCCAGCACUGACGCUCAUGCACGAAAGCGUGGGGAGCAAACAGG